UUGGUGAUCAGCCUUCUUUAUGGUCCAGCUCUCACUUCCAUACAUCACCUUGCCAACAAAGGUCCGUAUAGUUAAAGCCAUGGUUUUCCCAGUAGUGAUGUAUGGAAGUGAGAGCUGGACCAUAAAGAAGGCUGAUCGCCGA